CAAGAGACGCCUAGAAACCAUGACAUUCAUUCAGAGAAUGUAGCAGGCUGUGUGAAUGAAUGAAUGAAUGAAUGAAUGAAUGAAUGAAUGAAUGAAUGAAUUUAUCGGGAGGAAGCUGCCCAUAUUCCCCUCCCCUGCCUGUUUUACUUCCUUCUCCAGUAGCAUCUGCUGAAUGCCUUGAGAGGGGGUGGGGCUUUUAUUCUUGAGGGUCCAGAAAGAGUCUGCCCCCAGAAGGAAAUGCUGCUCGCCCGUCUCCUGAGGUUAGCAUGGUUGGUAAGCAUGUCCUUCUGAAGGUAGUGAGCAUCUGUUGCUUUCAUGGUGUUAAUUUUCCUGGUUGCUGGUGUGCCUGGGUUUGUUGGUGUAAUCCUCAGGGCAUCACUGUGAGGAAGUCGGGAGUAGAAGUCCGUAGAAGUCCUGGGAAUGUGUCUAAGGCUCGGAAAGGUCAAGAACCUGCUUGACACACAUGGUAGGAGCAGUACCAGCCUUCAGGAUCUCUUAACACCGAAGGAGAUGAGCCCUGAGUUUUCCUCAUGGGACGCUGUGAGGUUCUGUUUGGCUAGAAUCCAUCCAACUCAGAAGAGGUGACUGCAACCACACCAAGUGGGCAAGGCAUUGUGGGAGCUAGCUUUGAGAUGAAGGAUCCAGUAUGAAUGAAACAGUUUUUGUCCCUGAGUCACCCUGUGUCAGUAGGCCCGAGCAACUGACAUUCUGGGUCCAGGACCGGGAGGAAAGAAUUUUCUGGGAGACAAAAGCUGGAUGAGGGGAUUGCGAUCGACUGGGCUUGGGGAAGGUAGUCACCCCUGGACCAAUUACAUGGUCAUUUGACAUCUGCUCACCUGCCACAGGAGGCAAGGUCACCAUGGAUGAGGACUGGGACAGGGGAACCAGCAAAAACAAAAACUAAUGGCCUCUAGGGCCAGAAUUGCCACAGGCAGCUGCCCAGGGAGUGGAAGCCAUUGGUUUUAGAACACAGAUCCUCAGAAGCUGCUCCAGGAUUUUAACUUCUUGCUAACUCUUAAAAGUCACUUAUAAAAAUAGUACCGUGUGUUCACCUGUAAGAGAUCAAGGUAGCGCAUAGAAGCUUAGAGUCAAAGGUAAGCCAGCAGGCUCCAUCUCACGUGCUCAGUCUCCAGAGAUCCCCCCCCCUGCCCCCAGCAUCCGUGUCCAGUCACGAGUGCAGUGUGGUGGUUGUAACACAGACUGGUGCCUGGGUGUGGGCGCUCGAGGCCUGACUCCCCUUCCUCAUAGCGUGCACUGCCAGCAAAAUGCUGUGCCUUGGUUUCUCCCUUGUGAGUACUUUCCAGAUGUUAGCCGUCUUCAUUACCGGAAUAAAAGCAUUUUAUAGAAUAUCUCCCAUUUAAA
rnacentral:lncRNA from 1 species